UUACUUACCUAGACAGGGUUUAUGGGUGACCAAGAAGGCACAUUGCCUCGGUUGGUGACCUCCAUUGCACUUGGGAGGGGUGUCCACCAAACAUCUUCCCAAGUGGGAGAGUGUACAUCAUAGUUUGUGGCAGCGACUAUACACAUUCGUGCAGCCC